CGGAUGGAAUUUGAAAUGACUGAGCGGCGGACGGGUGAGUAACGCGUGGGUAACCUGCCUCAUACAGGGGGAUAACAGUUAGAAAUGACCGCUAAUACCGCAUAAGCACACAGUACCGCAUGGUACGGUGUGAAAAACUCCGGUGGUAUGAGAUGGACCCGCGUCUGAUUAGCUGGUUGGCGGGGUAACGGCCCACCAAGGCGACGAUCAGUAGCCGACCUGAGAGGGUGACCGGCCACAUUGGGACUGAGACACGGCCCAAACUCCUACGGGAGGCAGCAGUGGGGAAUAUUGCACAAUGGGGGAAACCCUGAUGCAGCAACGCCGCGUGAGUGAAGAAGUAUUUCGGUAUGUAAAGCUCUAUCAGCAGGGAAGAAAGUGACGGUACCUGACUAAGAAGCCCCGGCUAACUACGUGCCAGCAGCCGCGGUAAUACGUAGGGGGCAAGCGUUAUCCGGAUUUACUGGGUGUAAAGGGAGCGUAGACGGCACAGCAAGUCUGAAGUGAAAUCCCCGGGCUCAACCCGGGAACUGCUUUGGAAACUGUUGGGCUGGAGUGCUGGAGAGGCAAGCGGAAUUCCUAGUGUAGCGGUGAAAUGCGUAGAUAUUAGGAGGAACACCAGUGGCGAAGGCGGCUUGCUGGACAGUAACUGACGUUGAGGCUCGAAAGCGUGGGGAGCAAACAGGAUUAGAUACCCUGGUAGUCCACGCCGUAAACGAUGCAUACUAGGUGUCGGGGAGCAAAGCUUUCCGGUGCCGCCGCAAACGCAGUAAGUAUGCCACC
rnacentral:rRNA from 1 species